GAAAUGGAAAUCAUAAUGAAUGUCAUCUCCUCCUCCUGGAGCUGGAAGGAUUAAUGGGAGAGUAGAUUACAAAUUUAUUAAGCAUGUAGGAUGUAGGCUUUUUCAAUGGGUAACACACUAGGAUGACAAAGAUGCUGUCCCAACAAUAACACCACAGAAGCAGAACAGCAGACAAAAUGAUGACUUUAUGCUCCAUUUGAAAUUUGAUAUGUGUGAGGAUGGAGAGUCCACAUACAUCAAAUAGAAAAAUAAAAAGUGAAAUUAACAGAGAAAACUGAAGAACAUCCAAGAAUUAGAACUAAGAAAAGUAAUGGAGAUGCUUACAAGACAUUUGAGGCGAAGAGUAUAAGAGCAGAUUGGGACAUCCAUCCAAUGUUUCAGCACAUUCCUGAGUUACCACUGUGAUGGAGUGUUCUUGGAAGACUCUCCAGUUUCUUACUUCUCAGGACAUUGGCUGUUUUCCAAAGAAUGUACCUUUGGAGACAGUCAUUAUCACUCCUGGGUUUUGCCAGUUUAAUUUUGCUAUAUUCAGAAAUCACACUAGAAGCACUCUCUGCCUCAACCAGGCUUCUGGGUUGUUCUGCUUUCGGAUAUUGUCGGAUGCAACAGAACAUCGAGUUAAGGAACACUGAGGAGUGCUGAGAUUAGAGAAGUGUUAUCCUAGAGAACAAAGCUAUUAAAUUCUCCAAACCUGAGUUAAAAGAAUACCUAGUACCACACUUAAUUCCUGGUGUGAGCAGAAUUAAACUUAUUUGAUAAUCUUUGACAAGAUCAUAAAUGAGGGAGCAGAAGAGUUAGGGGACUGAUGUUCAUGAAGAGAGGAGAAUGGAGGAAGGUACUCAACUGGUCCCUUUCCCUUGGUCAAAUGGAAUUUGGGAUUAAUGAGCAAAUAAAAACAUUCACGAAGUUUGUUAGUAUCUCCUC
rnacentral:lncRNA from 1 species